rnacentral:rRNA from 6 species
AAAACUUUCAACAACGGAUCUCUUGGUUCUCGCAUCGAUGAAGAACGCAGCGAAAUGCGAUAAGUAAUGUGAAUUGCAGAUUUUCGUGAAUCAUUGAAUCUUUGAACGCACAUUGCGCCCUCUGGUAUUCCAGAGGGCAUGCCUGUUUGAGCGUCAUUU